rfam:Streptococcus lutetiensis 033, complete genome.
GGGGUCGUUACGGAUUCGACAGGCAUUAUGAGGUACAUUCUGCGACUCAUCGGCAGAUGUAAAAAUGCCAGUUAAAUAUAACUGCAAAAAAUACAAAUUCUUACGCUGUAGCUGCCUAAAAACCAGCUCGCGUGAUCUCUACAGGAUUGCUUGUGUUUUGCUAGAGGUUUCAUUGAUUAGCAAGCUACGUUUGAUUAUUGCCUAGCUAGUCAAAAAGAGAUUUAUAGGCUCGCUUAAUCUAGGUUUGAGUUAUGUAUCGAGCUUAAGUUAAAUCAAAGACAUAACCUAUGGUUGUAGACGAAUGUAUUGGCAGGUGUUUGGACGUGGGUUCGACUCCCACCGGCUCCAUAA